rnacentral:rRNA from 4 species
ACGAACGCUGGCGGCGUGCUUAACACAUGCAAGUCGAACGAUGAACCACUUCGGUGGGGAUUAGUGGCGAACGGGUGAGUAACACGUGGGCAAUCUGCCCUGCACUCUGGGACAAGCCCUGGAAACGGGGUCUAAUACCGGAUAACACUCCUGCACUCAUGUGUGGGGGUUAAAAGCUCCGGCGGUGCAGGAUGAGCCCGCGGCCUAUCAGCUUGUUGGUGAGGUAAUGGCUCACCAAGGCGACGACGGGUAGCCG